rnacentral:tRNA from 1 species
GGUUCCAUGGUGUAAUGGUCAGCAGUCUGGGCUUUCAAUCCAGUGAUCUGAGUUCAAAUCUCAGUAGAACCU